GACAGAGGGUGCAACCGUUGUUCGGAAUUACUGGGCGUAAAGCGCGUGUAGGCGGCUCGGAAAGUCGGAUGUGAAAGCCCUGGGCUUAACCUAGGAAGUGCAUUCGAAACUCCCGAGCUUGAGUUCUGGAGAGGAAGGCGGAAUUCUCGGUGUAGAGGUGAAAUUCGUAGAUAUCGAGAGGAACACCGGUGGCGAAGGCGGCCUUCUGGACAGUGACUGACGCUGAGACGCGAAAGCGUGGGGAGCAAACAGG
rnacentral:rRNA from 1 species